GAUGAACGCUGGCGACGUGCCUAAUACAUGCAAGUCGAGCGAACGGACGAGAAGCUUGCUUCUCUGAUGUUAGCGGCGGACGGGUGAGUAACACGUGGAUAACCUACCUAUAAGACUGGGAUAACUUCGGGAAACCGGAGCUAAUACCGGAUAAUAUUUUGAACCGCAUGGUUCAAAAGUGAAAGACGGUCUUGCUGUCACUUAUAGAUGGAUCCGCGCUGCAUUAGCUAGUUGGUAAGGUAACGGCUUACCAAGGCAACGAUGCAUAGCCGACCUGAGAGGGUGAUCGGCCACACGGGAACUGAGAAACGGUCCAGACUCCUACGGGAGGCAGCAGUAGGGAAUCUUCCGCAAUGGGCGAAAGCCGGACGGAGCAACGCCGCGUGAGUGAGGAAGGUCUUCGGAUCGUAAAACUCUGUUAUUAGGGAAGAACAUAUGUGUAAGUAACUGUGCACAUCUUGACGGUACCUAAUCAGAAAGCCACGGCUAACUACGUG
rnacentral:rRNA from 1 species